rnacentral:rRNA from 1 species
AUGCAAACGUGCGGCUGCUGCAUCACAUGUUUAGUCGAUGUCGCGCCUUCCGUCGCCGCCGUGGAGUUUGCCGCGGACAGCCUGGACACAAGCUGCAAGACGACAUUGCAGUGUUCAUUGACUGAUGCCGACGAUGUUCCCCCAACCAUGUCAGAGAGUGGCCGACAUCGACGACCUGAGGUUGUGCAUCCGUCGUUGCCAACAACGAACAACGACAAGGCAAAGCGGGAGGAGGGAUGCGCCACACUUGGAGCGCGGAAGGAAGCUUCUGGAGGAUCUGUAUGUCGAAGACGAUAUGCUACGGCGAUGCUAUGGUUGCCACGAGCUCGUCUACGGCGGAGUGACGAGGGGAUGGUGGUUGGGUUGCGUCUCUGGCCAACUUAG